rnacentral:rRNA from 1 species
AUUGAACGCUGGCGGCAUGCCUUACACAUGCAAGUCGAACGGUAGCGCGGGGUAACCUGGCGACGAGUGGCGAACGGGUGAGUAAUGCAUCGGAACGUGCCCUGGAAUGGGGGAUAACGUAGCGAAAGUUACGCUAAUACCGCAUAUUCUGUGAGCAGGAAAGCAGGGGAUCGCAAGACCUUGCGUUCUGGGAGCGGCCGAUGUCGGAUUAGCUAGUUGGUGGGGUAAAGGCCUACCAAGGCGACGAUCCGUAGCGGGUCUGAGAGGAUGAUCCGCCACACUGGGACUGAGACACGGCCCAGACUCCUACGGGAGGCAGCAGUGGGGAAUUUUGGACAAUGGGCGGAAGCCUGAUCCAGCCAUGCCGCGUGAGUGAAGAAGGCCUUCGGGUUGUAAAGCUCUUUCGGUGGGGAAGAAAUUGCACGGGCUAAUAUCCUGUGUAGAUGACGGUACCCGACUAAGAAGCACCGGCUAACUACGUGC